rnacentral:rRNA from 1 species
GAUGAACGCUGGCGGCGUGCCUAAUACAUGCAAGUCGAGCGAAUGGAUUAAGAGCUUGCUCUUAUGAAGUUAGCGGCGGACGGGUGAGUAACACGUGGGUAACCUGCCCAUAAGACUGGGAUAACUCCGGGAAACCGGGGCUAAUACCGGAUAACAUUUUGAACCGCAUGGUUCGAAAUUGAAAGGCGGCUUCGGCUGUCACUUAUGGAUGGACCCGCGUCGCAUUAGCUAGUUGGUGAGGUAACGGCUCACCAAGGCAACGAUGCGUAGCCGACCUGAGAGGGUGAUCGGCCACACUGGGACUGAGACACGGCCCAGACUCCUACGGGAGGCAGCAGUAGGGAAUCUUCCGCAACGGACGAAAGUCUGACGGAGCAACGCCGCGUGAGUGAUGAAGGCUUUCGGGUCGUAAAACUCUGUUGUUAGGGAAGAACAAGUGCUAGUUGAAUAAGCUGACACCUUGACGGUACCUGCAGAAGAAGCACCGGCUAACUACGUGCCAGCCGCCGCGGUAA